CCUACGGGAGGCAGCAGUGGGGAAUAUUGGACAAUGGGCGCAAGCCUGAUCCAGCCAUACCGCGUGGGUGAAGAAGGCCUUCGGGUUGUAAAGCCCUUUUGUUGGGAAAGAAAUCCUGUCGGUUAAUACCCGGUAGGUAUGACGGUACCCAAAGAAUAAGCACCGGCUAACUUCGUGCCAGCAGCCGCGGUAAUACGAAGGGUGCAAGCGUUACUCGGAAUUACUGGGCGUAAAGCGUGCGUAGGUGGUUCGUUAAGUCUGAUGUGAAAGCCCCGGGCUCAACCUGGGAAUUGCAUUGGAUACUGGCGGGCUAGAGUGCGGUAGAGGAUGGCGGAAUUCCCGGUGUAGCAGUGAAAUGCGUAGAGAUCGGGAGGAACAUCUGUGGCGAAGGCGGCCAUCUGGACCAGCACUGACACUGAGGCACGAAAGCGUGGGGAGCAAACAGGAUUAGAUACCCUGGUAGUCCACGCCCUAAACGAUGCGAACUGGAUGUUGGGUGCAAUUUGGCACUCAGUAUCGAAGCUAACGCGUUAAGUUCGCCGCCUGGGGAGUACGGUCGCAAGACUGAAACUCAAAGGAAUUGACGG
rnacentral:rRNA from 1 species